UGGUAUUGGAAAAACAAACGUUGCAAGACAUGGGAAGAAUUUGAUCAAGCAAACAACAACAUACUCGACAAAAAAUAUUCAAAGGGCAAAAAUAAUGCUAUAAUACUAGUGAACAACAUGUGGCAUCAAGUAACCUUUGGCACACUGACGAUGAAAAUGAUCAACCUUAUUCCCAAAACUGCAGUUAACAGAUCAAGUACCAAGCCUAUAUAUGAAGCGGAUGAAAAUGACGAUGGAAAUAAUAACAUGGAAAUGUCCUCACCUGAAAAGGAAAUCGGCAUCCAUUGUCAAUGUUGCAAAAGAAGAUCU